ensembl:rRNA 5S_rRNA 5S ribosomal RNA
GAUAGUGGCCAUACCAGCCUGUCACUGCCCGAUCCCCUUAGAUCUUGGAAGCUAAGCAAGUCUGGGUCUGGUUAGUAGUUGGAUGGGAAACCACUGAGAAUUCCAGGUGCCACAGUGG